AUUGAACGCUGGCGGCGUGCUUAACACAUGCAAGUCGAGCGACAAGCCGGGCUGCUUCCUCCCCUGCCGUUACCGGCGGCGGGGUGAGUAAACGGUGGUUACCCACCUUUUAGGCAUGGGAUAACUAAGGGAAACCGAAGAUAUCACCGGACAUUAAGUUGAACGCCUGGGUCCAAAAGUGAAAGCGGUUUUUGAUGGACCUAUUUAGUGAUUCCCCGCCGCUUUGGCUAGUUGUUAAGGUAACGGCUUACCAAGGCAACGAUGCGUAGCCGACCUGAGAGGGUGAUCGGCCACACUGGAACUGAGACACGGUCCAGACUCCUACGGGAGGCAGCAGUAGGGAAUCUUCCGCAAUGGGGGAAAGCCUGACGGAGCAACGCCGCGUGAGUGAUGAAGGUCUUCGGAUCGUAAAACUCUGUUAUUAGGGAAGAACAAAUGUGUAAGUAACUAUGCACGUCUUGACGGUACCUAAUCAGAAAGCCACGGCUAACUACGUG
rnacentral:rRNA from 1 species